GAUGAACGCUGGCGGCGUGCCUAAUACAUGCAAGUCGAGCGGACGGACGAGAAGCUUGCUUCGCUGAUGUUAGCGGCGGACGGGUGAGUAACACGUGUAUAACCUACCUAUAAGACUGGGAUAACUUCGGGAAACCGGCGCUAAUACCGGAUAAUAUUUUGAACCGCAUGGUUCAAAAGUAAAAGACGGUCUUGCUGUCACUUAUAGAUGGAUCCGCGCUGCAUUAGCUAGUUGGUAAGGUAACGGCUUACCAAGGCAACGAUGCGUAAACGACCUGAGAGGGUGAUCGGCCACCUUGGAACUGGGCCACGGUCCAGACGCCUACGGGAGGCAGCAGUAGGGAACCGGCCGCAAUGGGCGAAAGCCUGACGGAGCAACGGCGCGUGAGUGAUGAAGGCCUUCGGAUCGUAAAACUCUGUUAUUAGGGAAGAACAUCUGUGUAAGUAACUGUGCACAUCUUGACGGUACCUAAUCAGAAAGCCACGGCUAACUACGUG
rnacentral:rRNA from 1 species